rnacentral:lncRNA from 1 species
GCCUCCAGGAUGGUCCUCUAGAAGGAAGAGAAAUUUGUAUCCUCUUGAUCUGGAGACUCUGGGAAAUGAAAUAGAGGGAAACAGGAAUGAGGAACUGGAGAGGAAUUGCGUUCUAAGAUGACUUACAGUGGUGUGCACUUGAAUAUGCCACAGCAGUCAGAGAGUCCUACCCAGGUUCAAGAGGAGAAGACUUUGACUCGACCACUUAAUGGGAGAAGUUGCUAUAUUUUAAAAGGUUAUGUGGGAUGGGAGAACUGCUACAGCUUUGGAAAAUAUAAUCUGCCUGAAA